rnacentral:misc_RNA from 1 species
UCCUAGCCCGGAUAGCAACGGUUACCCCGCAGCAGGCGCAGGAAAAAGCAUUGGCGCGAGGAGUAUGAGUGGAUAGCCGGAAAGAGC